rnacentral:rRNA from 1 species
GACGAACGCUGGCGGCGUGCCUAAUACAUGCAAGUAGAAAGCAGUUGCGAACGGGUGAGUAACGCGUAGGUAACUGCCUCAUAGCGGGGGAUAACUAUUGGGAACGAUAGCUAAUACCGCAUAAUGUGAGAUGGACCUGAGCUGUAUUAGCUAGUUGGUGAGGUAAAGGCUCACCAAGGCGACAGUAAAUAGCCGACCUGAGAGGGUAAUCGGCCACACUGGGACAGAGACACAGCCCAGACUCCUAAGGGAGGCAGCAGUAGGGAAUCGUCGGCAAUGGACGAAAGUCUGACCGAGCAACGCCGCGUGAGUGAAGAAGGUUUUGGGAUCGUAAAACUCUGUUAUUAGAGGAGCGGUAUCUAACCAGAAAGCCACGGCUAACUACGUGCCAGCAGCCGCGGUAAUAC